AUCGCUUCUCGGCCUUUUGGCUAAGCUAAAGUGUAGUAUCUGUUCUUAUCAGUUUAAUAUCUGAUAUGUCCCCUAUCUGGGGACCCUGUAUUAGAUUUUUUGAGAACUGCGGGGGGGUUGGGAUAAGAUUUCAAAGUCGCCCUAUGCAUUGACCUGAUAUGGCAGUAUCUUCGGGUACAGUGGACCAAAA